rnacentral:rRNA from 1 species
UCCAGACUCCUACGGGAGGCAGCAGUGGGGAAUAUUGCACAAUGGGGGAAACCCUGAUGCAGCGACGCCGCGUGAGCGAUGAAGUAUUUCGGUAUGUAAAGCUCUAUCAGCAGGGAAGAAGAUGACGGUACCUGACUAAGAAGCCCCGGCUAACUACGUGCCAGCAGCCGCGGUAAUACGUAGGGGGCAAGCGUUAUCCGGAUUUACUGGGUGUAAAGGGAGCGUAGACGGCGAUGCAAGUCUGAAGUGAAAGGCGGGGGCCCAACCCCCGGACUGCUUUGGAAACUGUAUGGCUGGAGUGCAGGAGAGGUAAGUGGAAUUCCUAGUGUAGCGGUGAAAUGCGUAGAUAUUAGGAGGAACACCGGUGGCGAAGGCGGCCUGCUGGACUGCGACUGACGUUGAGGCCCGAAAGCGUGGGGAGCAAACAGGAUUAGAUACCCGGGUAU